UAUCUUCGUGGCGGAGUCAUUCUUACCAAAGAUAACCUUAUUAAGAGGAAUUGGCAUGGAAGUCCGCAGUGUGUCUUUUGUUAUCAUGACGACACAAUAAAAUAUUUAUUCUUCCAAUGCAAAUUGGCUCGUUCUAUAUGGCGAGUCAUCGAAAUAGCUUCUGCCUUGUAUCCUCCUUGUAGUGGUGCUAAUGUAUUUGGCAACUGGUUAUAUGAGAUUAAUCACGGGUUUAAAACUCUCCUCGGGGUGGGAGCGCUUGUCGUUAUUUGGUCGCUUUGGCUAUGUCAAAAUUCUAAGGUUUUCAAUGAUAAAAGUACUUCUUUGAUGCAGGUUAUAUACAGACGUACCGAGACUUUUCAUUUAUCGUCCUCUCUACCCCGUGUGGAGAAUCGAGACAUGUUUACGGAGAUGUGUACACGAUUGGAGGCCAUCAUGAUCUUAGGAUUGGCCCCCCUCUGCUCUCGGCGUAAUAUGGACUCUACAUGUCUCUUUGUAUUUUGCCUUUUUUUUAUUUUUCGUUUGUGUGAGUGGACCAUAUUUGGCUGUGUGCAUCUUAGUUAUGCAGAGGCCUGGUGUAAUGCUUAA
rnacentral:rRNA from 1 species